rfam:Frankia sp. BMG5.36 contig_268, whole genome shotgun sequence.
CCGGGCUAGUGCCCACGGGCCCGUCCCCACUUCGACAUGCGUCGCGGGUAACUGCGGGGUGUGAAGCUCGGAGGGAAAGCCCAAGGGC